UACUACAACAUUACCUUAGACAAAAAAGAAAUAAAACUUGUGAGGUUUUUCUUUUCCUUAAACUAAUUACCCAAUAUCUUUAACGAUAUUAAUACUCAGGUUGAAUCUUAUCACAAGGCAUAUUUUGAAUAGGAUAAGAAAAUGUGUAAUAAACAACUUAUAAAUAUUUAAAUUUGGGUGAUAUAAGUUAGAUUUGUUCGGCUAGUGGUGAGAAAAUAUAAUUUGUCAAAGGUUAGAGGCAAGAUGUAAACCCUACUUUGGAUCUGCAAAUCGGGCGCCAACGAUUUAACUCAGUUUCCCUAUGAUCCACCAGUUUCUUCUCAAAAAUCCUCUGGAAUCCAUGAGAUAAGCGAAUCGAUUCCUAAAAAAUCUCUACUUUUGUUAAUCUUUUUUCUAUCUUCCUCUUAUUUGAUCAAGAUAUGUUUUUCUGAAUUGGGUUUUCAAUUUCUUUAACCUGAAGCUCAAUCAUGAUUUCUUUCCACAAAAUCCAAUAAAACAAGAUUUUUUCUUUGUUUAGUCCCACUUCAUAUUUAGAUAACAAAUCUUUAAUCCUUCCCCUAAUCUGUUUAAUUUUCUGAUCGGCAAAAUUUUAUGAUUAUUUAAAAGUUUCUUCCCUCGUGAUUUUUGUUUUUCUCUCUUUGCAGAUUUUUCCCGAUUCUCAAACCCAAAUCUGAUUGGGUGAUCUAGGGUUUUAGAAGAUGCAUGGCUCAGUGGCGGAUCAAAGGCAUCUUAGUCAUUUCCUAAGAAAAUUGUCAAUUAGAAGCAUCUCAGAGAAGAUUGUGAUCAAGAUGAAUUUUACUUCAUCUUACACAAGGCAAGUCCUCAAAAUUUUGAAAAGAAAGUUUGGUCUUACACUCUUACUCUUCUCUAUAAUGAUUAUCAUCAGAAUUUUUCUUGAGCCCAAGAUCAAUCUAGUCUAAUUAACUUCAAGUUUGAACAAGAAAUCAAAAAUAUUUGCAUAAAGAAUACUUGGCAUGAACCUCUAAUUUACCAUGUAUUCAUUUUAAUUGUAUAUAUUCAGAAGAAUAUCAAUUCUCAAAACCCUUCACACAAGUAUUCUUCCUUUCAUCAAGAAACAAACUCAAAACAUCAUUUGUUCACUGUAUUUUCAAUGGCCUCCCAUUCUACCAAUAUCAAUGGCUUAUCUUCCAAAUUUAACAAGAAUUGUAAUGUUUCCAAGAGAACUACCAAACAUGUCUCUCUUGAGACAAGAGGAAGGUUUUUCGAGUCACAUGCAUUAAUAGGCUAUAUCUGUAGAGAAAACAUGCAAGUUCCUAGAUCAGCAGUUAGCUUUUUAGUCAGGGUUAAUUGGGAUGUCGCUAAUCAAGUGGUCGUCAUCAAUGCCAACAUAAGGAAUGUUAUUAUUUUAGGAUUCACAGUAGAGAAAUAUUUCAGAGGGUUUUAAGAUCAAGACCUCAUUCAGUUGGAGGAUAUCUUAAGAUUCUUUUGCCAUUGCAAUGUGACAUGGUGGUGCAGAGUACAAUCUUCCAGUAUGAAGUAUUCAAUAUUAAGUUUAGACUGAGAGCAUACUUGGAUAGAGAUAAUAUCCUACUGAUGGUUGCAACUCAAAAUGGUGAAGUUAUAACCAUGUAUAAUCGAGAGCCAACAGGAGUGAUGAAAGAAAAAGUUCGAGUGGAUGUCAACUUCCCAUUGUGCAGAAAGGUUAAGCUAAAUCUGGAAGAUGGAGAAAGGGAGUUGAUCCCUUUGGUGAUAAAGAAGAACAAGUUGGUAAUCCACAAGAACAAAAUCAAGUUCAAGAGGCUCAAGAAGCAGGAAAUUAUCAACCUGGGGAAAUUAAUCAUAGAAAUACAACAUCAUCAAAUAGAUACUGAUAAUACUCAAUAAGGAGAUGUACAACAGAAUCAUCAAGUGAGAGAAUCUAAAGAAAAUGUAUGGGGUCUACACAACUCACCAGUAUCUCAAAAAAGAUACGUUAACACAUACUUUAAGGAAGAAGGAAAUGAAAGAGCAAACAAAAUAAGAAGAGUUGAAGAUGUGGAUAUGGAUGGAAUGGAUUUGGAUAACCGUAACAAGGAUAUCAAUUUGGCUAUGUUAAGGUUUGCAGAGGAAGUUAGUAAAGAUCAACCUGAUGUAGGAAAUUCAGAAAACUGCACUUUGGGAAAAUCUUCCUCUACUGUAGAAGCUCGCAAUACUAGUGAAGCUAUUCUUGAUAAAGGGACUGACAUAUGUACUGAAAUAUCUUACAAAGGAAACAAUUUGGAUAUUGAAACAACUGCUAUUGAUGCUAAUGCAAAUGAUGGAAACCUAAUCGAUAUAUAUAAUCAGGGGAUUGGGCCUCGAAUCACUAGAAAUCACUUGGGAUACUUAUUGAAAUUACAGAUGCCAGACAUAAUCUUUUUAGCGGAGACAAAGGUUAAACUUGAA